CCGGAAGGUGCGGCUGGAUCACCUCCUUUCUAAGGAGCAACUUUCCGCGAAAGCGGACAGUAGCCCGCGGUCGUCAAACGUUCGACCGGGGUGCUCACAGGCGGAGACACUGGCCAGUUUGAGCCGGCAACGGCCGAAUCACCUAGUACACAGGCUUUCGGGUCUGGAGGAACGGUCUCGGUGCGGCUGGUGAGAGCGAAAAACAAGCAUCCUGUUGGGUAUCUGAAGGAACAACCGCCCCGGCUGAGGCCGGCGGACCGAGCGAGAGUUCGGGGUUGUUUUUCAAUGCCAGGCAUGGCCUGGACCUUAAUAUCGGCCACAUGUGUGGUGUUGAUUUUGGUCUGAGCGGGUUGUGGGUUGGUCGUUGGUUGAGAAUUGCACAGUGGACGCGAGCAUCUUGUUUUUUGUGGUUAAGUUGUCAAGGGCGAAC
rnacentral:misc_RNA from 1 species